AUCUUUGCGCAGAGGCAAGACGGCGCGCAGUGAGGUGCAAACCGAGCGGCUGUUUUUGCUGAUUGAAAACUUUCAGUUCCAAUACCCCGGGCUGGCUUCAUUGCUUGACCCAAUAUUUGGAAACCGAAAGGUU
rnacentral:snRNA from 1 species